rnacentral:rRNA from 1 species
CACGUAGGGCGCGAGCGUUGUCCGGAAUUAUUGGGCGUAAAGAGCUCGUAGGCGGCCUGUUGCGUCCGCUGUGAAAGCCCGGGGCUUAACCCCGGGUCGGCAGUGGAUACGGGCAGGCUAGAGGUAGGUAGGGGAGAAUGGAAUUCCCGGUGUAGCGGUGAAAUGCGCAGAUAUCGGGAGGAACACCGGUGGCGAAGGCGGUUCUCUGGGCCGUACCUGACGCUGAGGAGCGAAAGCGUGGGGAGCGAACAGG